rnacentral:lncRNA from 1 species
GCAUCUAUAGUGUCGAUGGUCGAUGUAAAUUAUUUAAAAGCAAUCUGACGUCAGUGAUAAUUUGGCAAUAUCAAGAUGAUAAAUCAAUCUGAUGAAUUCUGUGACAUUUGUCAACGGAUCGACUUAUCAAAACCAGCAGAUGCAUUUUGUCCUCAAUGUGAGGAUUUUCUGUGUGGGGCUUGUCAGAAUCAUCAUAAGGUAGCAAAGUUAUUGAAUUCACAUCAAACAAUUUCUAUUGACGAAUAUAUGAA